UCCAAGAUUGGACAUGACCCUGAAAGUCAAUGGGGACUGCUCAGGGAUGCCAGACCACCUUCCCCCAACACGUUUGCCAGUACUUGGCGUCAUGGAGCCAGAUGAACUCCUCAUGCUGUCGCACGACUGAGAACUCCGUCUGGGCGAAGUGAGGGAGGCAGCUCUGGAAGCCGGGAAGCCUGUCUGAGAGAGAGAGAGCAGAGCGGUAGGCAGAGGAAGAGGGAGA